UACGAAGGGGGCUAGCGUUGCUCGGAAUCACUGGGCGUAAAGGGCGCGUAGGCGGACUUUUAAGUCGGGGGUGAAAGCCCAGGGCUCAACCCUGGAAUUGCCUUCGAUACUGAGAGUCUUGAGUUCGGAAGAGGUUGGUGGAACUGCGAGUGUAGAGGUGAAAUUCGUAGAUAUUCGCAAGAACACCAGUGGCGAAGGCGGCCAACUGGUCCGGUACUGACGCUCAUGUGCGAAAGCGUGGGGAGCAAACAGG
rnacentral:rRNA from 1 species